AAGAGGGAGCUGCGGGAAAGCGCCCGCGAGGUUUCCGAGGAGAAUGCAGUUUACCUGUGGUUAGAUUGUCAUUGAUCUUCAAAGGCACCCUCAGGAUGUAGACCAGGAAAAGCAUGAUGAAGAACCACAGGGUCCAGAGGGCAACCUUAAGAAUAUAAACAAUUGAUCAGAGAUCCAAGAGGGUUUCAAGCAAGAGGCUACUGCUGAGUUGAGCCAUAAGGAAUACUGGAACUUGGGGGUCUAGCUUGCAAAUUUUUAGGAGACUUGGACAGAAGGGUGCAUCUGGAGCAGCACAUCCUAAUUCCAACAUUUUAAAAUAGACUGGCAGAGAGCCUUGGCCAAGAGUCCCAUCCUAAAAGAAUGGAUAGUCGUCUCUCCUUUUCUUCUACCAGGGAGUCUGCAGUCAGAAUUUGAUUUUAUGGGAGAUAAAUUAAGCUAACUUCUUGAGGGAUAUGCCUAGAAGGUGACAGUCUCCAAAUCUGCAAGAGGAGCUGCUUCCACAGAGAGAUGGGAGGAGUUGUCUUCAGCAGUAGGGCUGUAAAAAGGUUUUUGGAAAUUACAGAAGAGGAAGAGUGGGAGACCAGUGGAGGUGGUGCCCACUUAGGGGAAAAAAGAAGAGGCCUCAAUCCUGCAAAGAGGCAAGGAAGAGAUGCUCAUAUGCUCUACUGAGUUAGGCAAUAUUUCCUGGAUUAACAGCUUCUGCUCAGCUUCCAGAAAAAAAAGCCCGUGUGUUGGGAAGGCUGAGAGACACUGAAGGAAUCCCCUACUGACCUGGCAUACUUAUUCAUAUCUGUCUUUAGCAAGGGAGCUCUGAAAUUAUUCAUUUCAGGUCUGCUGUUGCUGCUCGGAAGCUGCUGCUCAGCCACAUGGUGGAGAAGAGGAGGGGGUCCGACAGCUAAGGCACUUUUCCUGCUCUCUCCAGGAGGACAGCAAUCUCUGCCUGUGUUGUCUGCUAUGCCUUGUAUGCCUGAAGUCUAAAUAUGGCACCUAAACAGGAGACACUUGUUGCCCUUCUCCCUGCUAAGGAAGGCUGUCUGAGGAAGUGCUUAGCACCAAAUUUUGGUCCUGACUGGUCCUUCAGUACCUGACUGAUAAGGCAGGACAGGACCCACUGUUGGAACUGUCCCCAUAGUCUCCACUGAAGGGACUGUCAGCUGAAAAGAGCAUGAGCAAGGAUUUUGGUCCCUUUACUUAUGACUCAGAAGUAAUUACUUGCCUACAACUUCUGAAAUUUUAUCAUUUAGCACCACCCAUCCCCACUCUGAAUGCUGUUACUGUGAUUGGAAAGCCAAUGAGCCUUGCUUUAUUAUUACUAUUUUUAAUAUACAUUUAUUUUAAUUCACAACAUUCUUCAUUAAAUCCAGUUUGGCACUCAGAGCCCAGUUCUUCAUCAGCAUGUCAUGAUCAUCUGAGAUGCUUUCAAAUUGUACUUUUUCCAUUCCCUUCUGCUAAUUUAAUUUCAUUGACAAGUUUAUUAAUGGACACUCCAAGCAGAAAAUAUAAAUGUUUAUUCACUUCCUCAUGCCUUCUACCAGUCAUGGUAUUUUAUUAUUAAGAGCAAUUAUUAGUUCAUGCUGCACUCAGACAGCACCAGUCCCUACAGUGAACAAGCCUUAGGAUGCAACUAUUGUUUCCACACGCAGGGUUUUUAGGCAUCUCCUCCCUAAUGCACCAUAAUAACCUCUAUCAAAAAGGGACAGCUAAGAAGAAAUAAGGCCUGUAUCCAGCAAGCAUGGCGCCUCUGAACUGCAGAAUAUGUGAAGUUUUGUCUCCACCCCUGAAAUGGAUUUAAAUGUCCAUGAGAGCAAAGGUCUGACAUCACUUGUUACAGAUAGGGGAGAACUCCAUAACUAGUGUUAGCUUGAACUGGUAUAGGCUAACACUGCUCUUUUUAGAGCCCUCAUCUUCUCGUAAGCAAAUGCUGCCAAUUGUGUGCCAAUAAUUGGGAGGGGAAGGAGAGAGUGUUCAGCGGGUACUACUUUGGUCAAAACUCAUUGCACAUUCAAAAUCUAAUUCCAUAAGCCACCUACAAUUAACAGUUUAAGAAGAAAGAAGAACAGGAGUACUUGUGGCACCUUAGAGACUAACAAAUUUAUUAGAGCAUAAGCUUUCGUGGACUACAGCCCACUUCUUCGGAUGCAUAUAGAAUGGCUUUAAGAAGAGUUAGAGUAAGUGCAGAUAAAUAAUAAUAAAUAAGCGCAGACAGUUCAAGCUAACUAUAAUCUCACAACUAAAAUUAAUCUGUCUUGUUUCUUUAAAAGUCACAAGCAAAAAAACGUCAUGCAGCAAAUUCAGAUUACAGUAUUCUGGAGGACUUCAGAGAAGACAGCAGAUAUCUAUACCUAAAUGUACAUGCAAUCUACUUGCAUGAACAAUUUUAUUCACCUAUUUCUAAAUGGUGAAAGGAUCUUAUGUCAGAAUGUUUAACCGGCAUUGUUGUGUAGAAUACAAGAAAAAACACAGCAGUGUAGAAUACAAACGCAGAACUCAUGCUGAGCAUCAAAAGUCUUAAGUGUUAUAUUAAAUAAUACAUCCAAAACCUACACCAAAAAUGUGUUACUUCAACAUAUAAUGAGAUCUUGUAAAAAGAUAACUUACAGACACUGUUAAUGAAUCUUGUAUGUCUUUAUGGCUCACUAGCUGAACAUUACCAUCUUCAUAAUAGUGAACCUAUGCAGAAGUAAAACAAUAAAUGUUAUCAGUAUUACAGCUACUGAAUCAGCAUGGUGGUAAAAUGCCAACAUUAGUCAAUAUGUAAACACACUUUUCUGGGGGAAGAGAGGGAUCUGUUGGUGGUGCAUUUCCACUGAAAUGCAGAGUUAUACUUCAAGUGCUCAGCAUGUAUGUGCUCAGAGUAGCACUUUUCGUGUCCAGGAAUUUCUUUGCAAUUAACAGUUCAUUUUAUUCAAGCUACUUGCGAUAGCAGAAAGGUGUUGUUCUUUAGGAGACUUAUUGGAAGCUACACAAGUAAGAGGAUUGACUUUGUUCAAGGAGAGUUUUGGCAAAGCUUCAGGCUGCAGUGAGUUGCUGUCCUCCUUGCUCAUCCAGACUGUUUGCUGGAGGCAGCGUGACAUCUUGUAUUAAGCAAGCCCAGGUGAUCUUUCUAAAAAGAAUUCCCUUCGGCACAAUAAUGUUAGUAACCUAACUAGUAGACACAGCAGAAUAAGUUUGGAAACUCUUGGUCUCUCCCCAAAAAGGUUUAAUGUACUCCCCCACCCCCCCUCUGCCCUCAAUUUAGUCCUACCAGUCUUAGUCUUAGAUUCUUUAAAGGUAUUAAAACUAAUCUUGAUAAAGUCAAUGAGUUAAAAACUGGAGCAAUUUGAAGAUAUUGAAAACGCAGGAUUAUAAUGCUGAUCCCUGGUUUCCGUGUGGGGGAUUUAAACACCUAUGGGAAAUUAAAGAGGUACACCUUGAGCACUUAAAUAUAAGUUUAUUCACAACAAAUGACGUGGUAUUGAAGAGUAAUGGAUAUCUUUACAAUUUAAACUGGAAUCUUUGGAAAAUACAAAAGAUAAGAGGAUUUUGGCCUUUACUGCCAGAAUCAAAAGGAAAUUAUGAUGUACAUGCACUUGCAACUGAAACUGAGAGAAAGGUCUUGGAACUGAGCCUUCACACAGAAAAUUAGGGUUUUUUACGUUUUUGUGGCCCUAGAGAUCAUUGAUUAAAAAAGGGGCAACUGAACAGUAAAUUGUGCCUAAUAAGCUCUGGAAUAUGCCCAUCCAUGAUUACCUUUUUAAUGACUUUCACAGAGGUACAUCAAUGGCACUGUAUAAAUAUAAAUGCUAUUUCCAAAAUGAAACAGAAGAUUUUUUUUUUAUGGGUAAGAGGACAUAUUUUUGCCACAACUAGUAAACAGAACUGACACCAUUCAUUCAGUUGAAUUUACAGAGAAGUUACCCCUCUAAAGAGAUGAAAAAGGUGCCAUUCAUUAUCAGAAAAUGAGAAUUUGAUACAGUUGAAGAAACAUUUCUUGAAAAAGAGACAGACUCUGCCCAUGAUGCACAGCAAAUCAUAAAACACAGGCAACUAUAUUAGCGUCAAGUAGAUUCCUCAAGUAGAGGCUCCAACAAUCGCUCUUUUGGGAAAAGCUGACUUUCUGCGUUCCCAUAGGGACUGGUGAGGAGGUACGUUAGUGAUUUCUAAUGUAUAUGUGUAUUCAUUAAUUUGGCUGCUCUUGUAAUGAGUCUGGUAGGAUAUUCAAGGAAACGUUUGACUUUUUUGACAAUGUAAACACUGAUUCUUAAUCCUUUUUUAGAAAGUGUUCCCAUUUGCAUUGUAGAAGCAGCAUACAACUCCUGGAACAAGGAGCAUAUUCCUCUCAUCCUAUGCCCUCAAGAGAAAAUAGCCUAAAGCUGCAUCCAGCCUUCUUUGAAGAGACAUCAAUCCUUUUGAUACAGGAGGCAAGAGAGGGGGGAAAAAAAGAAAGAAAGAACACCGAACACAAAAAAACAACCAACCCUGUGCUCUAUAACACACAAAAUAGGAAAGCCCUCCAUUUUUACAAUAUAAUCUAUGAAUGCAUGAAUGAAUAUUUAUAGACAGAAUUAAUGCCAGUUUAUUUUAAAAUACUGCAGAAUGAUUAAUGAAAUGUGUAUCUGUUCCAUUUUUUCUUGCACCACAAUUAUUAUUGUUGCUAUAUCGCCAUGAGAUUCCCCUAGUUGAAAAAAACUAGAUACCUACUAAACACUGAAGUAUACAAUUUAUGAUAAGCCUACCUGAAUUUUCAAGAUGCCAGCCACCUGAGUGGUUGAAGGGGUGAUUGCAAACUUCCAUUCUGACCUCCAACGGCCAUUCCUUAAAAAUAAAAACAGCAGAUAUAAAUAAGGCAGGGAAAAUAAUUUGAAUAAAAUGCUGAAUUUCAAACACUUAGUUUUGCACUACUAGUGCCAAACUGGACUCUGUGGGAACACUUAUUGCUGCUUUUGGAUACGGAGCAAGAUUAUUUAUUCAUGCAGACAUUCUAACAAACUUUUUCUUUGUCUCUAAAAAUGUUCCUCAUUAUUAAUUACUUGCCAAUUGGGCAUGUGUAGCUGAGUACUGUUUAGAGCAAAGGAAGACUCACUGGAUGAUUUCCAGCAACAGUCACUUUUUUGCAGCCCGCUAGCUUUAGAGUCUUUGCAUUUUUAUUUAAAAAUACCAAAAUACCCAUGAAUCAUUACAAUAUUAACUGUAGCUAAGGCUUUGGACUGCUCUGACAGAAAUAUAAAGCUCCAGAACUGUGGGCAUUCCUUCCAUUAGAAAGGAAUGUAAUAAUUUCCCCAAACCACUCAAGGGGAGAUUGUAUCUUUCCAGAUGUCUGAAAUACAGGUAGGCUACAUUUCAAACUUUGCCUCCCUGCAAGGCAUACACUUCUGAAAAGGUUAGUGGAUCAUUCUGUCAGGAAAAAAAAAAAAAAAAAGACUAUAUUAGGACAGCUUCUGGGCUGUCUCAAUUUCUACUCCAUGUAUGUAUUUAAGAAAGAAACAGUUUGGGUACAACAUAAACUCAUUUUCCACAAGAAGAUUAGCUACAGAUUUUAUUCCCUUUCAGAAAGUAACAAUACUGAGACAAAAAAGCAGUUUAAGAUUACCAAAUAAUUAAUACAGAUUGAUGUAGAAAUGCUCCACUGAAUAUAUUUCAGGUGACAAGUUAAUGCCCAAAUCCAUAACACCUUAGGCUAUAAUUUCAGAACUCAAAGUCCAAGCAAGGUAGGGUUUGAUAAGUACUUAGCUAUCUUUGGGUGGGGUGGAGAGUGUAAGGUUCUGCAGAAGCUGUUGGUUCAGUGUUUUUUGAGUCACUAGUUUCCCAGCUAGACUGCUAGAUGGCACUGUAAUGCCAUAACACUGAGGUCCUGACAUCUUGCAGCUACAAGAAGUGCCAAAAAAUCCUUUAUAAACAGAGGUUAGCCACAGUACCCUAACUAAACUCUAACUUGUGUUACUACAUUCUGCAUACCUAAGAUUCUUCUUGUUUCAGUGUGAAGAACGUAUUCUUCACUUCCUGAACAGUUACAGGAUGGUAACUAGUAUUCUGCAGGUCAUUAAAUAAUUGCAAUGUUUCACAUCAGCAGAGCCUACAUUUUAGUGAAAAAAUAAGUCAUUUCAAUGGUCUGUAAAGUUCUUAUCAUAAUUUAAGUCAUAACCAUUAGUGUGUAAUCAUUGCUGAAGCAAGGAUUUCCAGAAGCUUGU